GACGAACGCUGGCGGCGUGCUUAACACAUGCAAGUCGAACGGAAAGGCCCUGCGUUUGUGGGGUGCUCGAGUGGCGAACGGGUGAGUAACACGUGAGUAAACUGCCCUUGACUUUGGGAUAACUUCAGGAAACUGGGGCUAAUACCGGAUAGGAGCUCCUGCUGCAUGGUGGGGGUUGGAAAGUUUCGGCGGUUGGGGAUGGACUCGCGGCUUAUCAGCUUGUUGGUGGGGUAGUGGCUUACCAAGGCUUUGACGGGUAGCCGGCCUGGGAGGGUGACCGGCCACAUUGGGACUGAGAUACGGCCCAGACUCCAACGGGCGGCAGCAGUGGGGAAUAUUGCACAAUGGGCGGAAGCCUGAUGCAGCAACGCCGCGUGCGGGAUGACGGCCUUCGGGUUGUAAACCGCUUUCGCCUGUGACGAAGCGUGAGUGACGGUAAUUGGUAAAGAAGCACCGGCUAACUACGUG
rnacentral:rRNA from 1 species